rnacentral:rRNA from 1 species
AACGUAGGAGGCGAGCGUUAUCCGGAUUUACUGGGUGUAAAGCGCGUGCAGGCGGUGGGCUAAGUUGGGUGUGAAAGCUCCUGGCUCAACUGGGAGAGGUCGCUCAAGACUGGCCGACUGGAGAGCAGUAAGGGAAGGUGGAAUUCCGGGUGUAGUGGUGAAAUGCGUAGAUAUCCGGAGGAACACCAGUGGCGAAGGCGGCCUUCUGGACUGCUUCUGACGCUCAGACGCGAAAGCUAGGGGAG